rnacentral:rRNA from 1 species
AUGGCUCAGGAUGAACGCUAGCGGCAGGCUUAACACAUGCAAGUCAGGGGCAUCGGGAGUAGCAAUACUUGCCGGCGACCGGCGCAAGGGUGCGUAACGCGUGAGCAACAUGCCCGUAUCAGGGGGAUAAUCCAUGGAAACGUGGUCUAAUACCCCAUAGUAAUUAUGUAAGGCAUCUUAUAUAAUUUAAAGCUUUGGUGGAUACGGAUUGGCUCGCGUGACAUUAGCUGGAUGGUAAGGUAACGGCUUACCAUGGCUACGAUGUCUAGGGGUUCUGAGAGGAAGGUCCCCCACACUGGAACUGAGACACGGUCCAGACUCCUACGGGAGGCAGCAGUGAGGAAUAUUGGACAAUGGAUGGAAAUCUGAUCCAGCCAUGCCGCGUGCCAGGAAGACGGCCCUAUGGGUUGUAAACUGCUUUUGUAUGGGAGCAAUAAGGGCUACGUGUAGUCCGAUGAGAGUACCAUACGAAUAAGCACCGGCUAACUCCGUGCCAGCCGCAGC